CAGUAAACAUCAACCAUCCUCUGUGACGAAAUAUUCUACAUGUUAGUAACAUGACUGUCGUAUCUUGUUGCUACAUUUUAAAAUGGGCAAAAGAAAAAACAUAGAGAUAACUUCUGAUGGUCGCUUCACUUUUUGGAGGUCAAUAUUCGUUUUGGAUGGGAAAAAGAUCACAACACUAAAGUCAAAAUGAUUAUUUGCAACAAGAGAUGAUUUCAAUAUCUCUAUUUCUUUCCCCUUAAGCUACAUGUAAAAGCUAUAGCAAUAUGUUGUUCUCUUAACGUCCAAAUGCAACACACACUUGCACUGGUUUUAAGGAGAACAUUAUUAUAGCUUCACAUAACAUAGUCACAUGAUUGAGUAAAAGAUCACGCAACAUAUACAGUGUGAAGCCACGGGUUCUACGUGUAGCUUCAUAAAAAAAAAAAUUUAAAGUAAAAUUGAGAAUUAUAAAUAACGAAAUGCCAGAUAAGAAAAAUUUGAGAUUGUCCUGCCAAGAUACCAGUUGGCUGCUUCAGGACUGAAAAACUUAUUAAAUAGGUAUUUUGAAAUAAAAUAAGGGUAGAGGAAAAUCCUCAGUUUGAAUCUAGGAAGCACCGACACGCUCCCGGCAACGACGUACCGGUGUCCGAUCGCGUCCGACACGUCGCCGACGCGUGUCGGAGUCACGGAGCCGUGUGGCUUUGGUGGGCUGAAAAAAAGAAACCAGUGGAAAGAAAGAAGAAAAAAGAGAAGAAGAAGAAGAAGAAGAAGAAGAGGAAGAGGAAGAAGAAGAACCUGUUACCUGUUGAUUGUCAGGCAUAGACAGAAAGAAAGAGAGAAGAGACGGCUGAAAUGAAAUGAAAAGUCAUGAUUUAUCAAAGCAAAUUUCAAUUUGUGGGCCCACCACUGUAAAUUUUCUCCUUUUGUACACGUUUUGUAUCUUUUCAAUGGAUGUAAUCCUUUAUAAAAUAAUGUACAAUACUUUAUUUGAUCAAUUUGUACCAUUUUACCCUUCAACAACAAAUCAAACUUAUAUAACAACACAAACAUUUUCUUCCUCAGUCAGUAACUUGCGAAAAUUUCAGAACAUCCAAGUAUUUUUUUUGUUAUUUCAUCUUUUUCAAAAAUUUCAUCAAUCCACAUUUGAAGAAUCAUUUGCAAGAUAAAGAAGAAGAUAUUUUUUCAAGUUUCGGGUAAUAUCACUCCUAUUUUACUUAAGUAUUUGAAAUUAUUUUUCUUUUGAAGUUAUGAGUGAUAAUGCUAUGGAUGAUGAUUUGUCUAAACCUCUUUGGAAAUAUGUUACAAAACUUGAUAAAUUUAAUGAAAAGGGUGGUAACAUUAUUUGGCAAUGUAAUUUUUGUAAUGCAACUAAGACAAGUUCUUACACAAGAGUGAAGGCACAUUUGUUAAAAUUACAAGGCUAUGGAAUUGAGGCUUGUGUAAAAGUAACUAUGAAAGAUAUAUGUGAAAUGCAAAAAAUGGAAGAUGAAGCCAAGUUGAGAAUGCAAACUAAGGCGGGGAAAAGAGUGCCAUUGCCAUCGAAUAAUAUGGGUUCUAAGGAUUGUUAUGUUUUGGAGGAAAGGAAAAGAAAGAAUAGUGCAAUAGAAAAUGCUUUUAAUGUGACAACACGUGACCAAUUGGAUUCCGAAAUUGCUAAAAUGUUUUAUUCAAGUGGUUUGCCUUUUACUCUUGCAAGAAAUCCUUAUUACAUUAGUUCUUAUACUCUUGCUUCCAAUAGUCGAAUUUCGGGAUAUUUGCCUCCCGGUUACAACAAGUUGAGAACUACUCUUCUUCAAAAAGAGAAAAAAAAUGUGGAAAGAUUAUUAAAUCCAAUUAAAGGCACAUGGGCGGAAAAAGGAGUUACCAUUGUGAGUGAUGGAUGGAGUGAUCCACAAAGAAGGCCACUAAUUAAUUUUAUGGCGGUGACCGAGAGUGGACCAAUGUUUUUAAAAGCGGUUGAUUGUUUCGGUGAAACAAAAGAUAAAUAUUUUAUUGCUUACUUGAUGAAGGAGGUUAUAAAUGAAAUUGGUCAUCAAAAGGUGGUUCAAGUAAUAACCGAUAAUGCUCCAAAUUGCAAAGGUGCCGGACAAAUAAUUGAAUUGGAGUAUCCUCAUAUUUUUUGGACACCAUGUGUUGUACACACACUAAAUCUUGCUUUGAAGAACAUUUGUGCCGCAAAGAAUGUUGAAAAUAAUUUGAUUACAUAUGAGGAAUGCAAUUGGAUUACUAAUCUUCAUGAUGAUGUAAUGAUUAUAAAAAAUUUUAUCAUGAACCAUUCCAUGAGACUAGAAUGUUUAAUGAAUUUGUGCCUUUGAAGUUGCUUUCCGUAGCAGAGACACGAUUUGCUUCUAUUAUUGUCAUGUUAAAAAGAUUUAAGCUUAUUCGAUGUGGUCUUCAAGCUUUGGUUAUUAGUGAAAAAUGGUCACUUUAUCGAGAAGAUGACAUGAAGAAGGCAAGGUUUGUAAAAUUGAAAGUGUUUGAUGAUCUUUGGUGGGACUCUAUAAGUUAUGUUCUUUCCUUCACUUCUCCCAUUUAUGACAUGCUUAGAUUUUGUGAUAUGGAUAAACCUUGCCUUCACUUGGUUUACGACAUGUGGGAUACAAUCAUUGAGAAAGUGAGAGGAAUAAUUUAUAGGAAUGAGAAAAAAGUUCAACAAGAGGAAUCAUCAUUCUACAAUGUUGUUCAUCGGAUACUUGUAGAUCGUUGGAACAAAAAUAACACUCCACUUCAUUGUUUGUCUCAUUCCCUAAAUCCAAGGUAAUUUUUAAAUUUAAUUCAUACAUUUAAUGUUUAUUUACAUUAUCAUAAUAUUUAAUAUGUUUAGUUAGUUAUUGAAUGAAUUGUCAUUUUUUUAUUUUUUUCCUCUUGUUUAGGUACUAUAGCGAGGAAUGGCUUAAUGAGGAUCCCACUCGACUUGCUCCACAUAGAAAUGUAGAGAUUUCAAGAGAAAGAAUAAAAUGUUUUAAGAGGUACUUGUCAAAUGAAGAGCGUAUUAUGGUGAAUAAGGAGUAUGCCAAAUUCUCAACUAUGGAAGAUGACUUUGGUGAUUUUGAAUCCAUCCAUGAUCGUUACCGCUUGGACCCAAAGACUUGGUGGGUUAUUUAUGGUGCUUGCACACCUAUGCUUCAAAGUUAUGCUUUGAGAUUAUUGGGGCAACCAUCUUCUUCAUCGUGUUGUGAGCGAAAUUGGAGUACUUAUUCCUUUUUGCACUCUCUUAAACGGAAUAAGCUAACUCCAAAACGUGCGGAAGAUUUGGUUUUUGUCCAUAGCAAUCUUCGUCUCUUGUCAAGGAGGAGUGCGCAAUACUCACAAGGAGAGACUAAAAUGUGGGAUAUCGGUGGAGAUGCAUUUGAUACAUUUGAAGAUAUUGGUGUGCUUGAAGUCGCUAAUUUAUCUCUCGACGAACCGGAAUUGGAGGCGAUGGUAUUUGCUGAUGGAGAUGAAGAUUUUGAAGAGAUUCAAGAUGAAUGAUGUAAUUAAUUUCAUUUUUACUUUUUGAACUUAUGUCAUUAAGAAACAUUGAUGAAUUUAAUGUCAAGUUUGAUUUCUAUUUAUCAUUAUAUAUUGCGGUGUCCGUGUCGGUGCUUCUUAGGUUUGAAUCUUCUCAAGGAGAGAAAAGAAAGGAAGUACAAGAAUGAAAUGCAUUCCCCCACAAUCACACUGCUCCUUCCUUAAGUUAGAAAAGUAUAAGGGGGAAUACGAAGGAAUAAGAAAAAAAGAUAAUGUUAAAAUAAUUUUCUCCUUUUCCGUACAGGUGCUGCCAAGUGCAGUCUUCCUGCCUGUUAAUCUGAAAAAGAAAAUGAGGUUCCUUUUUCUUGAUUCUCAGCUCUCUCUUUAUGCCUGUGUACGUUGAUAAAGAAGGAUAAUGAUUUGUUUCCACUUCUCCUAUUCAGAUAUACAUCUUAAAAUUUU
rnacentral:lncRNA from 1 species